rnacentral:rRNA from 1 species
ACGAACGCUGGCGGCGUGCUUAACACCUGCAAGUCGAACGGUGAAGCGCCUUCCUUUUUGGUGGGUGUGGAUGAGUGGCGAACGGGUGAGUAACACGUGAGUAACCUGCCCCCUUCUUCUGGAUAACCGCAUGAAAGUGUGGCUAAUACGGGAUAUUCUGGGUCUGUCGCAUGAUGGGUCUGGGAAAGAUAUUGUUUCGGUGGGGGAUGGGCUCGCGGCCUAUCAGCUUGUUGGUGGGGUGAUGGCCUACCAAGGCGGUGACGGGUAGCCGGCCUGAGAGGGUGGACGGUCACACUGGGACUGAGACACGGCCCAGACUCCGACGGGAGGCAGCAGUGGGGAAUAUUGCACAAUGGGCGCAAGCCUGAUGCAGCGACGCCGCGGGAGGGAUGGAGGCCUUCGGGUUGUGAACCUCUUUCGCCAGUGAAGCAGGCCUGCCUCGUUUGUGGGUGGGUUGACGGUAGCUGGAUAAGAAGCGCCGGCUAACUACGUG